AUCACGUUGAAACGUCGGUUCCCGUACGAUGACCGAAGUUAAGCAACGUCGAGGCUGGUCAGUACCUAGAUGGGUGACAUUUUAGAAAUACCAAGUGCUGUAC